AGGGGCUUUGGGCAGCAUCUG
rnacentral:miRNA from 1 species